rnacentral:rRNA from 1 species
AGAGUUUGAUCAUGGCUCAGAACGAACGCUGGCGGCACGCCUAACACAUGCAAGUCGAGCGCCCAGCAAUGGGAGCGGCGGACGAGUGAGUAACACGUGGGAACAUGCCUUUCGGUUCGGCACAACUCAGGGAAACUUGAGCUAAUUCCGGAUGCGCCCGUAAGGGGAAAGAUUUAUCGCCGAAGGAUUGGCCCGCGUCUGAUUAGCUUGUUGGUGAGGUAACGGCUCACCAAGGCGACGAUCAGUAGCUGGUCUGAGAGGAUGAUCAGCCACAUUGGGACUGAGACACGGCCCAAACUCCUACGGGAGGCAGCAGUGGGGAAUAUUGGACAAUGGGCGAAAGCCUGAUCCAGCCAUGCCGCGUGAGUGAUGACGGCCUUAGGGUUGUAAAGCUCUUUUACCUGGGAAGAUAAUGACGGUACCAGGAGAAUAAGCCCCGGCUAACUUCGUGCCAGCCGCCGCGGUAAUAC